rnacentral:rRNA from 1 species
CAGCCGCCGCGGUAAUACGAAGGGGGCUAGCGUUGUUCGGAAUUACUGGGCGUAAAGCGCACGUAGGCGGAUAUUUAAGUCAGGGGUGAAAUCCCGCAGCUCAACUGCGGAACUGCCUUUGAUACUGGGUAUCUUGAGUAUGGAAGAGGUUAGUGGAAUUGCGAGUGUAGAGGUAAAAUUCGUAGAUAUUCGCAGGAACACCAGUGGCGAAGGCGGCUAACUGGUCCAUAACUGACGCUGAGGUGCGAAAGCGUGGGGAGCAAACAGGAUUAGAUACCCCUGUAGUCCCUGUCUCUUAUAC